rnacentral:rRNA from 1 species
UACGGAGGGUGCAAGCGUUAUCCGGAAUGAUUGGGCGUAAAGCGUCCGCAGGUGGCAGUUCAAGUCUGCUGUCAAAGACCGGGGCUUAACUUCGGAAAGGCAGUGGAAACUGAACAGCUAGAGUAUGGUAGGGGCAGAGGGAAUUCCUGGUGUAGCGGUGAAAUGCGUAGAGAUCGGGAAGAACAUCGGUGGCGAAAGCGCUCUACUGGACGGUAUCUGACACUGAGGGACGAAAGCUAGGGGAGCGAAUGGG